rnacentral:rRNA from 1 species
CACACCGCCCGUCACAGCAUGGGAGUGGGUUGCACCAGAAGUAGAUAGGUUAACCGCAAGGGGGCCGUUUACCACGGUGUGAUUCAUGACUGGGCUG